AACGAACGCUGGCGGCAGGCCUAACACAUGCAAGUCGAGCGAAGUCUUCGGACUUAGCGGCGGACGGGUGAGUAACGCGUGGGAACGUGCCCUUUGGUUCGGAAUAGCCCCGGGAAACUGGGAGUAAUACCGGAUGAGCUCUACGGAGGAAAGAUUUAUCGCCAAAGGAUCGGCCCGCGUUGGAUUAGGUAGUUGGUGGGGUAAUGGCCUACCAAGCCGACGAUCCAUAGCUGGUUUGAGAGGAUGAUCAGCCAAACUGGGACUGAGACACGGCCCAGACUCCUACGGGAGGCAGCAGUGGGGAAUCUUAGACAAUGGGGGAAACCCUGAUCUAGCCAUGCCGCGUGAUCGAUGAAGGCCUUAGGGUUGUAAAGAUCUUUCAGUGGGGAAGAUAAUGACUGUACCCACAGAAGAAGCCCCGGCUAACUCCGUGCCAGCCGCCGCAGUAACAC
rnacentral:rRNA from 1 species